rnacentral:rRNA from 1 species
GAUGAACGCUGGCGGCGUGCCUAAUACAUGCAAGUCGAGCGAACAGACGAGGAGCUUGCUCCUCUGACGUUAGCGGCGGGCGGGUGAGUAACACGUGGAUAACCUACCUAUAAGACUGGGAUAACUUCGGGAAACCGGAGCUAAUACCGGAUAAUAUAUUGAACCGCAUGGUUCAAUAGUGAAAGACGGUUUUGCUGUCACUUAUAGAUGGAUCCGCGCCGCAUUAGCUAGUUGGUAAGGUAACGGCUUACCAAGGCAACGAUGCGUAGCCGACCUGAGAGGGUGAUCGGCCACACUGGAACUGGGACACGGUCCAGACUCCUACGGGAGGCAGCAGUAGGGAAUCUUCCGCAAUGGGCGAAAGCCUGACGGAGCAACGCCGCGUGAGUGAUGAAGGUCUUCGGAUCGUAAAACUCUGUUAUUAGGGAAGAACAAAUGUGUAAGUAACUAUGCACGUCUUGACGGUACCUAAUCAGAAAGCCACGGCUAACUACGUG